GGGAGACUAUGUGUGGGUGUGUUAUAAGUUUGAGCAAGUGCUAUGCUGGGUUAGGGCUUCAAAGAAACCUGUGUAAAGUAAACCACAGCAUAUGACACUUUCUGUGAUCGAGCUUUGCUGUAGCAUUCCAUUGGCAUGAUGCAGGUGUCAGGAUCAUUGUCAGGAUGCCAUCUCUGAUUGGAUCAGUGCCAGACGAAGGACCGUGGCGACGGUGGAAAAUCGGCCAAAAUGCUGCCGAAUUUCUGCUGCAUUUUGGCGGCACUGCCUCUCGACCACCUAACCCAGAUUUUAGAGAUCCUCUCAGUGAGCUCCCCCAGAAUGGGAGAAACUUGGAAAAAGAAUAAAAUACGUUGCAGCCAA